rnacentral:rRNA from 1 species
UACGUAGGGUCCGAGCGUUUGUCCGGAAUUAUUGGGCGUAAAGGGCUCGUAGGCGGUUUGUCGCGUCUGCUGUGAAAUCCCGAGGCUCAACCUCGGGCUUGCAGUGGGUACGGGCAGACUAGAGUGCGGUAGGGGAGACUGGAAUUCCUGGUGUAGCGGUGGAAUGCGCAGAUAUCAGGAGGAACACCGAUGGCGAAGGCAGGUCUCUGG